GACGAACGCUGGCGGCGUGCCUAAUACAUGCAAGUCGAGCGAAUCUUUAGGAGCUUGCUCCUGAAGAUUAGCGGCGGACGGGUGAGUAACACGUGGGCAACCUGCCUGUAAGACUGGGAUAACUUCGGGAAACCGGAGCUAAUACCGGAUAAUCCUUUCCUUCACAUGAAGGAAAGCUGAAAGUCGGUUUCGGCUGUCACUUACAGAUGGGCCCGCGGCGCAUUAGCUAGUUGGUGAGGUAACGGCUCACCAAGGCGACGAUGCGUAGCCGACCUGAGAGGGUGAUCGGCCACACUGGGACUGAGACACGGCCCAGACUCCUACGGGAGGCAGCAGUAGGGAAUCUUCCGCAAUGGACGAAAGUCUGACGGAGCAACGCCGCGUGAGCGAAGAAGGCCUUCGGGUCGUAAAGCUCUGUUGUCAGGGAAGAACAAGUACCGGAGUAACUGCCGGUACCUUGACGGUACCUGACCAGAAAGCCACGGCUAACUACGUGCCAGCCGCCGCAGUAACAC
rnacentral:rRNA from 1 species